CUGUGAUGGGGAGCGAAAAUUAUAGUAGCGAAGGUCAUGAUCUCACACUGCCAAGAAAAGCCUCUAGCCAGGUGAUGGUGCCCGUACCGCAAACCGACACAGGUAGGCGAGAAGAGAAUUCUAAGGCGCGCGGAAGAACUCUCGUUAAGGAACUCGGCAAAAUGACCCCGUAACUUCGGGAGAAGGGGUGCCCCGGUAGUGUGAAUAGCACGAGGGGGCCGCAGUGAAAAGGCCCAAGCGACUGUUUAGCAAAAACACAGGUCUGUGCGAAGCCGUAAGGCGAAGUAUACGGGCUGACGCCUGCCCGGUGCUGGAAGGUUAAGGGGAGCGGUUAGGAGCAAUCCGAAGCUGUGAACCGAAGCCCCAGUAAACGGCGGCCGUAACUAUAACGGUCCUAAGGUAGCGAAAUUCCUUGUCAGGUAAAUUCUGACCCGCACGAAUGGCGUAACGACUUGGGCGCUGUCUCAACGAGAGAUCCGGUGAAAUUUUAAUACCUGUGAAGAUGCAGGUUACCCGCGACAAGACGGAAAGACCCCAUGGAGCUUUACUGCAGCUUGAUAUUGAAUUUGGGU
rnacentral:rRNA from 1 species